rnacentral:pre_miRNA from 1 species
CCGUGCUAUUGUAUCAGUUGAAGCUGCCAGCAUGAUCUAAACUUUUCUCCUUUAUGUGGAAAGACAAGAUCAUGUGGUAGCUUCAUCCGAUGCGAGUAGCACGA